GAGCAGAAGCUGCAGUUGGUUUCUACCGAGCUGCAGUUUCUGUGUUCGCCUCCAGUCUGACCUGCUCUCACUUUUUGUUUUCACAUUUCGCCAACUAAAAUAUAUUAUAUUAUGUUAAUGCUUAUUCAUUGCAAGUCUUAGCUUCAUCAAGAUAUUAAACAAUCUUUGUGCAGCCCCAGUGUGAAUACAAAUAAUUAAAAAAUGUAUUCUUCCUUGAUAGGUAAUCGGUGAAGAGACGGUUGACUGUUCUUUUGAACAUUGUCCCACAGGCUCUUUAGUAAAUGGUGAGUAUUCAAAUGCUUUUAUUUAUUGACUCGACCUUUUUAAACUUGAUUUGGAAGACAUUCAAAAUACCUUGGUAUGAAAAUGUUGCUGUAAAUUUUCUGAUUUAUUAGGUCAAGUUAAUAUGAGAUAAUGUUUGUGUGUUUAAAUGUUUUUUCUCUCUCUCCCUCUCUCCACUGAAUGUGGCAGUGUAAGGGGCUUUCAGUUGCUGUUGCUAGUAGGUGUGCACUACUUAACCAUUAUAAAGUCAAACAUCCACAUUUUGGGCGCACCAUUCACUAUCCUUGUACAUAUUUAAAUUGUCCAUGCACAUUUAAGACAUGGAAUGCUUUAUUUAUACAUCAAAGUAGAGUGCAUUCCACACAAGUUAGUCAGACUCAUAAAGAAUUAUCUACUUUCAGCUGUCACGUUUGUAAAUGCAAACAUUUAUCUAAUGAAAGGGAGUACUUUGUUCAUAUCAACACACAUUUAAGGAGAAAUGUAAAUGUCUCUUGCAUGUUUGUUGGCUGUAGUUUUCAAACCAGUAUUUAUGGAACCUUUAAGUCUCAUAAGAGUCGCCGACACACACCUCACAGCCUAACUGAUUUUAUACCUGGUAUUGUGAUAACAACGACAUUAGCAUCACCAUCAUUACAUGAUUUUAUUUGUGGAUUGCCAGGAUGAGGAGUGUGUGGAAGAGGAAUUUUGGGUUACAUCCCUAGAUUUGAAAGGCCAACACAACUCACCCCCAAGUAUUGUUGAGCAGCAGCUGGCCACAGCCUUGUUUAAAUUGGAGUAUUUAGUAGAUGUGCCAGGUACAGCUAUCGAUGAAUUUUUAAGAACUUAACUACAUCCUAAGCUCUGCAUCAGUCCCACUAUCCAGAGAUUUUGUAAGUGAGAUCUUUGAGCGUCAUAACCUCCAAGUUGAUGACUCUGUUGUUACUGAAAUCACCACAGUGGUUUGCUCAUCUAACCCAGUUCAUAGAGCAAUUGAAAAAGGUGGCCCUCUUAGCACUUCAUAUUAACGUAAACAAUAUUACAAGGAAAAAUUCAGGGUUGUGGAGCCAAUUACCUACAAACUUGAUCAUUAAAAAAAACACACCUUUCAGUAUGUCCCACUAUUAAAAUCCUUGCAGCAAAUAUUAAAUUGCAAAGUCAUUCUUGAUAAGAUUAUUGAAAAUCAUAGAGGACAGCAGGACAUUGAACUUGACCCUUUCUUUGAAUUCAGGUCCCCUGAAGAUGGUUUGCAUUUUAAGGAAAAUAGCUUUUUGAAUACUGAGGAAUUACGAAUAUCUGUGCGUCUAUAUGUGGACGAUUUUGAAACCUGCAAUCCCUUAGGCACAUCUCGGAAGAAACAUAAGCUUUGUGUUGUUUAUUGGGUUUUAGGUAACCUGCCACUAGGCUCUCACUCAUCUUUAUCAUCUAUUUUUCUUGCAGUACUUUGCAAAAGUGUUGAUGUAAAAAUAUAUGGUUAUGACAAAGUGUUAGAACCUUUUCUGCGAGAUCUUCAAACUCUGGGGAACCUUGGUGUGUAUGUCCCUUUGUUAGGCAAGUCUCUUAGAGGUACAGUGCAGAGUGUUGUUGCUGAUAACUUGGGGGCGCACGGUAUUGCAGGCUUCACUGAAUGUUUUUCAGGUGAUUUCUUUUGUCGGUUUUGCACUGCAAAAAGUUCUGAUAUUAGGUCUAACUGUGUUGCAUCUGGUGCUUUUAGCCUAAGAACUAAAGAGGUUUAUGCUGAUAAUUUGAAAGUUGCUCUUGAGAAUAAUGCCCAUUGCUCUGGAGUUAAAAGAGAGUGUGUUUUAACCAAAAAUCGGUCUCAUUUUCACGUUGUCUCUGAUUUUCCUCCUGAUGUUGCUCAUGAUGUAUUUGAGGGUAUUGUCCCGGUGGAGCUGGCUUACUGCUUGUCAAUCAAUGAUAUCAAGGAAGUUAUUUACAUUAGAUGGGCUGAAUAAAGCUAUAUUGGCUUUCCCCUAUAAAUGGUCAGACAAAAGAAAUAAACCACAUGUUGUGCCACAGAAUCUCUUAGGGCUGAAAACUAUUGGAGGCAAUGCCCAUGAAAAUUGGAAUCUACUGAGGUUUCUCCCAUUUGUGAUUGGACAUCUAGUGCCAGAAAAUGAGCCAGCAUGGCUAGUGUUGAUGGAUUUAAAAGAUAUUGUCGAGUUAGUUGUUGCUCCUGUACAUACAGAUGAAUCCAUAUCAUAGCUUGAAAGCAAAAUAGUUGAGCACAGACAGAGGUACAAAGAGCUCUUCCCUGGUGUCAGACUUCUGCCCAAGCACCACUAUCUCGAGCACUAUCCUCAGAUGAUAAGGUGUUUUGGCCCUCUAGUCGCACUCUGGACAAUGCGAUUCGAAGCCAAACAUAGUUUCUUUAAGCGGAUUGUAAAGCAUACAAGUUGCUUUAAGAAUGUUCCUCUGACUUUGGCUUCAAAACAUCAGUUUAUGAUUGCUUUCCACCUAAACUCACCAUCCUAUGGUAAAUCUAGCCUUGAUGUAUCAAGUGUGUCCACAUUACCAGUUGAGGUACUGAAAGAGGAAGUGGCUCAGGCUGUUAGGUCAAGAUGGACCCGGGGAGAGGCAGUGGUCUAGUGGCAGAAACUUGGACUAUAGGCAGAGAAGGUCUCUGGUUCGUCUCUGGUUCGACUCCACGGAGAGACAACAAAAGACAAACCUGGAUUGAUCUGUCCAAAAAUCCAAGAGUCUCCCUACCCUGUCUAGUGCCCCUGAGCAAGGCACCUUACUCCCCCAACAUCUGCUCACCGAGCGUAGUACAUGGUCGCUCACUGCUCUGUGUGUCCUGCACCAGAUGGGUAAAAAGCAGAGAUUAAAUUUCCCUACCUGCAUGAGUGUGCCUUUGCAUGUCUGUGCAUGUGUUUGGGAUGAAUAAAUGGUUCUUAAUCUUAAUACCCCAACACAGUUGAGGUGCAUCUUGCCAAUAAUGCAUCAAGUAGUGACAUAGCUUACAGCAAGGGCAUGAUAGUUGCCCAUGGAUCAGCAAGUGGGUUGCCAGAGUUUGCUGAAAUCAUCCAGAUGUGUAUUAUAAAUGAGGAGUUGUUCCUCAUUGUGAAAGUGCUGUGUGGGUGGUACAGUGCACACUACAGAGCCUUUGAACUAAACUUGUUACCGUCAAGAGAAAUAAAACUUGUGGCACUCAGUGAUCUCACUGACACCUAUCCAUUGGCCGACUAUAUAGUUGGAUCGAGCCGCAUGGUUACCUUAAAAAGGCACAUCCUCCUAAAAGGUGAGUUGACCUCCAAAAACUGGUGCAUAAUAUACAUGAUGAAUUACAAUUUGUAUGGCCUCUGCCUUCACAGUUUGGCACUCUGCUUGCAAUGCCUCUUUUUGCUCCACAUUCUGUUUGUAUUUGAUAUACCAUAUUUUCUGAGUUUUUUGCUUAUUCUAAUCAUGAUUCACUAUACUUUAUGUCACACAUACAUGUGGGUUACAUUCUAAGCUUGUAGUUUUUAGCCACAAUUCCACCUUGAAGGCUGAACUUGAAAACAUUACUGGUUGAUUUUAUCACAGGGUCUCUGGCGGGUCUUAACAAUUAUUAAAAGGUAAUAAAUAAUUUUAUAAACAAUUUAGGCCCAUUUUACAACUUAAUGAGUUAUAUAUAAAAAGAAAAGUCCUUACAUAAGGGAAAGUGCAUCUUAAAAUAAAACAAAAUGCAACAAUCUUUUAAAAAUUUAAUCUUUUUAUCUUCUUCACAGAUCAAGAAAUAUAAGGAUGAAUUGCCCGGCCAUUCUCAAGUAAUCCUGGGAGACAACAGCAGCCAAAGGUUAACUUUUCAAAAUGGACUUCCUGAAACCGUUGAUCUUUUUAGCGAGGUACAAAGACAAUGUGGACGUGACUGUAACUUCAGACUACAAUUUUCUGGAUGUACUUUUCGGAAAUGAGUUUCUGAAUCUAACUUCAAUGGAUGAAGUACAGGAUAGAGGGACCAUCAAAGUAAUCCCCUUGACAGAAGCCUCAACUCCCCAGUUUGCUAAUAGCCUCUCCACCUCUGCAAUUGCUCAUGUUCCUGAAGAAUCCUCAUUCCUGUCUAGUGGGUGUGUUGACACUGACAUACUCUCGUCAUCAGUGCCUUCCGGUUCAAGGUCGGUUUGGCCCAGCAUCUUCCGUGUUCCUCAUUUUAGCUAUGAUGCAAGGCUGAAACUUGAGCAGGGUCAUGCAGCAUUCAGUGAAAAGGGUACCUUGCUUACUCCAGAUCAUAAACUCAGGUCGAACAUUCUCGAAGGACUGGUGCAAGAAAUAGUCCGGUACAAACUUUACGUCACUGAUAAGCAGUUUACCACUGUUGGAGAAGCACUCAUCUCAAAACAUCCCUGCCUGACUGAGAGAGGCUCCCUCACUGGACAAGCUCCAGGCAAGAUGGCCAGCGCUGUUUGAAGUAAAUGAGAUAAAUGCAGAAUUCAAGCGUAUUACCACCAUGCCCCUGCAAUCCAGAUUUAUCUCACAACUGGACGUGCUAUCUGACAAACUUGUGAAGCUAUUUGAAAAGAGAGGAGGACAGAUAGGCAAGCGUCUACAGGGCAUUUUGCAACACAUAACUCAGAGUAAAGAUGAUGACGUUGACAUAGGACGGGAAUGCGUUCUCAAGGGGCUGUGUGUGUACCUCAACGAGGACCCAGUAAAUUUAGUGAGAGAGUUUGUGGCAGAGGACGGAGCCAUCUUCGAGGAAGCCAUUGAGGAGACUACGGUGGGAAUAUACGUUGUCAAACAUGAUACCACCAGUCAACCAAAGGACAUUGGGAUUAUCCUUGAAGGCCAGCAGAUAUUGCGUGAUCUGAACAACGUUGUUAUUUGGCCUAAUGUAUGCAAUGAACCUGAAAAAGGGGAUUUUUUUUUUCCUCUGUUAGGAUUUGGCAAAAUAUUAUUAAUACCUUUAACACUGUGAAAUAUAACAGUGAGGAAGUAGGACUUUUUUACUUUUAUAUUUCAGAGCCCUUUGGCACAGUCAAACACUGUCUAUUUCUAUACGGAGAAUAAUUGUUUUCUUUGUAAUUUGAAUUAUUUUCAGAUUCUCACAGUAUUGGAUGUUUAGUGGGCCCUCCAAAGUGCAAGUCAGAAUUAUUUGCAUUUACCCAAUGUGGAACAUCUAAGGAUGUGGUUUUUGUGUUUUGUCUUUAAUUGGAAGCUGUUUUAAGGAAUGAUUGUGUCAAUCGUAGCAAUUGAGGUGUUUAUGCUCUCUUGAGAAUAUGGUUUACAUGUUCGUGUGAAGAAAAAACAGGCCGUGUUCUAUCAAGUGGGUGAUGUUCUUGUAUGUUUACACAUACAUACAAGCCUUACACACGUCUGUAGUGUAAGUGUAAAACUUUGAGGAAAAUGCAGUUAGAUUGUGAAAAGGAAUUUGUUUUUCGUUAUUCCUUAUUUGUUUUGAAAAUGUUAUGAUACUUGCUCUAGAUAAGAGAUUAGGAUGGCCGAUUGAAGGAUGUACCAAAAGCAUUUAUUAACAAAGAAAAAAUAAUUUUGCACAGAAAUAAUCUUAUAUGUAAUGGAUAUGCAAAUUAUGCAUAUGCUUUAUAACUUAAUAAUGAAAGUUACUUGAGCAGACUAGGUAGAUUUAACAUAACACUGCAUGUUGAUUAAAUAAAUAAUUUCUGUUG